rnacentral:rRNA from 1 species
GAUGAACGCUGGCGGCGUGCCUAAUACAUGCAAGUCGAGCGAACAGACGAGGAGCUUGCCCCUCUGACGUUAGCGGCGGACGGGUGAGUAACACGUGGAUAACCUACCUAUAAGACUGGGAUAACUUCGGGAAACCGGAGCUAAUACCGGAUAAUAUAUUGAACCGCAUGGUUCAAUAGUGAAAGACGGUUUUGCUGUCACCUAUAGAUGGAUCCGCGCCGCAUUAGCUAGUUGGUAAGGUAACGGCUUACCAAGGCAACGAUGCGUAGCCGACCUGAGAGGGGGAUCGGCCACACUGGAACUGAGACACGGUCCAGACUCCUACGGGAGGCAGCAGUAGGGAAUCUUCCGCAAUGGGCGAAAGCCUGACGGAGCAACGCCGCGUGAGUGAUGAAGGUCUUCGGAUCGUAAAACUCUGUUAUUAGGGAAGAACAAAUGUGUAAGUAACUAUGCACGUCUUGACGGUACCUAAUCAGAAAGCCACGGCUAACUACGUG